UGUACACUGAGGGCAAGCGAUAGAGGCGAGGAGAAACCUCUGGCCAGGAAGAGCAACAUGAACGCGUAGGAGACAAAAGAACACAUCAGUGCAUAAACAGUGUAUAAAAAGAAGAAAAUUUAUUAAUGAAUGGAUCCAUCAUACUGCAACAUAAACAGCGGGUCCUGUUGCAAGGU